CUCGAGAUUUCCACUAUCUUCGUCAAGCUUACGGGUGCUUAACAAACCGUUACAGUUGCUCAAGGAUACCACACCUUAAGACUUCACUUGCUUGAGGAUUCCUCACCCCAAGACUUCAACCACUAGGGACUUUGGUAUUUAGCAAACCCAACAAAUGAGAAGAUAUGUUCUUCUCAAAUAACUCUCUUUUACAACAAAUACUCUCUCAAUAGAGUGGAUAAAGAGAUACACAAUAAGCUCUAUGAACAACACAAAGUUGUCUAUCAAAUGGCUCAACAAAAGCUCUAAGAUGAUGUUUGAAAAUGAUCAAUAUGUAUAACAAUGCAUGGAGGAGUUUUGUGUUUAAAAUUAGCUCAAAAGACCUCUUUUUAUAGGUGAAAAAGUGGUGCUGGCCGUUGCUUAAUUGACAAAUGAAAUCCCUGAUUCUGUGCUCAAACAAU
rnacentral:lncRNA from 1 species